ACGGCCGCGGUAUUUUGUCCGUGCUAAGGUAGCGCAAUCACUUGUCUUUUAAAUGAAGACCUGUAUGAACGGUGGAACGAGGGCUUAACUGUCUCCCUUCUCAAGUCAGUGAAAUUGAUCUACCCGUGCAGAAGCGGGUAUAAAAAUACAAGACGAGAAGACCCUUUGGAGCUUAAGACAUAAAAUCAAUGUAGUCAAAAUUCCUAGUAAAAAGAACCAAGCAUAAGCAACACACCUGAUUGACGUCUUCGGUUGGGGCGACCACGGGGGAAAACAAAGCCCCCAUGUAGAAUGGGACAACUCCUAAAACUAAGAGGGACACCUCUAAGUCCCAGAAUCUCUGACUUAAAAGAUCCGGCGCACACGCCGAUUAGCGAACCAAGUUACCCUAGGGAUAACAGCGCAAUCCCCUUCAAGAGCAAGUAUCGACAAGGGGGUUUACGACCUCGAUGUUGGUCAGAACAUCCUAAUGGGG
rnacentral:rRNA from 1 species